AUGCCGUUGUACCUCCAGCGCCGCCUCACCAUCCCGGACAUCGCCGCGCACCGCUGGUCUCGGCCCUGCGCCGUGGCCUUCGCCGCGCUGGCGCCCGUGCUCCUCGCCACGGCAUGGACCUCGCACAACCCGGCGAAAUCAUCCUCGCACCACGCCGCCACCACAACAGCGACGGCCGCGCGAUCCUCCUCGUCGACGGCGUCCUUGGCCUCCUCCUCGCGGCCCUCACCGCGGCCACAACGGACACCGCGUCCCCUCCUAACGGGCGCCCGCGUGCCGUGGCUGGCGGUGGAGUUCCUGAUGAGCGUACUCUGGGGCUCUGGGCAUACACCCUGGCGCGCGAACUAG
rnacentral:rRNA from 1 species